rnacentral:rRNA from 1 species
UUUCCGAAUGGGGAAACCCAGUGUGAUUCGUCACACUAUCAUUAACUGAAUCCAUAGGUUAAUGAGGCGAACCGGGGGAACUGAAACAUCUAAGUACCCCGAGGAAAAGAAAUCAACCGAGAUUCCCCCAGUAGCGGCGAGCGAACGGGGAGCAGCCCAGAGCCUGAAUCAGUGUGUGUGUUAGUGGAAGCGUCUGGAAAGGCGCGCGAUACAGGGUGACAGCCCCGUACACAAAAAUGCACAUGCUGUGAGCUCGAUGAGUAGGGCGGGACACGUGGUAUCCUGUCUGAAUAUGGGGGGACCAUCCUCCAAGGCUAAAUACUCCUGACUGACCGAUAGUGAACCAGUACCGUGAGGGAAAGGCGAAAAGAACCCCGGCGAGGGGAGUGAAAAAGAACCUGAAACCGUGUACGUACAAGCAGUGGGAGCACAGAGCAAUCUGUGUGACUGCGUACCUUUUGUAUAAUGGGUCAGCGACUUAUAUUCUGUAGCAAGGUUAACCGAAUAGGGGAGCCGAAGGGAAACCGAGUCUUAACUGGGCGUUAAGUUGCAGGGUAUAGACCCGAAACCCGGUGAUCUAGCCAUGGGCAGGUUGAAGGUUGGGUAACACUAACUGGAGGACCGAACCGACUAAUGUUGAAAAAUUAGCGGAUGACUUGUGGCUGGGGGUGAAAGGCCAAUCAAACCGGGAGAUAGCUGGUUCUCCCCGAAAGCUAUUUAGGUAGCGCCUCGUGAAUUCAUCUCCGGGGGUAGAGCACUGUUUCGGCAAGGGGGUCAUCCCGACUUACCAACCCGAUGCAAACUGCGAAUACCGGAGAAUGUUAUCACGGGAGACACACGGCGGGUGCUAACGUCCGUCGUGAAGAGGGAAACAACCCAGACCGCCAGCUAAGGUCCCAAAGUCAUGGUUAAGUGGGAAACGAUGUGGGAAGGCCCAGACAGCCAGGAUGUUGGCUUAGAAGCAGCCAUCAUUUAAAGAAAGCGUAAUAGCUCACUGGUCGAGUCGGCCUGCGCGGAAGAUGUAACGGGGCUAAACCAUGCACCGAAGCUGCGGCAGCGACGCUUAUGCGUUGUUGGGUAGGGGAGCGUUCUGUAAGCCUGCGAAGGUGUGCUGUGAGGCAUGCUGGAGGUAUCAGAAGUGCGAAUGCUGACAUAAGUAACGAUAAAGCGGGUGAAAAGCCCGCUCGCCGGAAGACCAAGGGUUCCUGUCCAACGUUAAUCGGGGCAGGGUGAGUCGACCCCUAAGGCGAGGCCGAAAGGCGUAGUCGAUGGGAAACAGGUUAAUAUUCCUGUACUUGGUGUUACUGCGAAGGGGGGACGGAGAAGGCUAUGUUGGCCGGGCGACGGUUGUCCCGGUUUAAGCGUGUAGGCUGGUUUUCCAGGCAAAUCCGGAAAAUCAAGGCUGAGGCGUGAUGACGAGGCACUACGGUGCUGAAGCAACAAAUGCCCUGCUUCCAGGAAAAGCCUCUAAGCAUCAGGUAACAUCAAAUCGUACCCCAAACCGACACAGGUGGUCAGGUAGAGAAUACCAAGGCGCUUGAGAGAACUCGGGUGAAGGAACUAGGCAAAAUGGUGCCGUAACUUCGGGAGAAGGCACGCUGAUAUGUAGGUGAAGUCCCUCGCGGAUGGAGCUGAAAUCAGUCGAAGAUACCAGCUGGCUGCAACUGUUUAUUAAAAACACAGCACUGUGCAAACACGAAAGUGGACGUAUACGGUGUGACGCCUGCCCGGUGCCGGAAGGUUAAUUGAUGGGGUCAGCGCAAGCGAAGCUCUUGAUCGAAGCCCCGGUAAACGGCGGCCGUAACUAUAACGGUCCUAAGGUAGCGAAAUUCCUUGUCGGGUAAGUUCCGACCUGCACGAAUGGCGUAAUGAUGGCCAGGCUGUCUCCACCCGAGACUCAGUGAAAUUGAACUCGCUGUGAAGAUGCAGUGUACCCGCGGCAAGACGGAAAGACCCCGUGAACCUUUACUAUAGCUUGACACUGAACAUUGAGCCUUGAUGUGUAGGAUAGGUGGGAGGCUUUGAAGUGUGG